CACAGACAACCAGGAUGUUGGCUUAGAAGCAGCCACUCAUUCAAAGAGUGCGUAAUAGCUCACUGGUCGAGUGAUCCUGCGCCGAAGAUUUCCGGGGCUAAAACUUACUACCGAAGCUACGGCAUCAGUAAUGAUGGGUAGGGGAGCUUCCCAUACGGGUUGAAGCAUGACCGUAAGGACAUGUGGACAGUAUGGGAGUGAGAAUGUUGGCAUGAGUAGCGAGAUGUGGGUGAGAAUCCCACAGGCCGUAAACCCAAGGUUUCCAGGGGAAGGUUCGUCCGCCCUGGGGUAGUCGGGACCUAAGCUGAGGCCGAAAGGCGUAGGUGAUGGACAACAGGUUGAUAUUCCUGUACUACCGAUAACCGUUUGAGAGAAGGGAUGACACAGUAGGAUAAGCUAAGCACACUGUUGGUUAUGUGUGCCCAAGCAUUGAGGCAGUCAAAGUAGGCAAAUCCGCUUUGAUAAUGCUGGGAUGUGAUGGGGAGCGAAAUUUAGUAGCGAA
rnacentral:rRNA from 1 species